UAUGUGUUCAUGUGCAUAUGUGUAUAUGUGUUAUACACAUACAUGUACACAUACACAC
rnacentral:miRNA from 1 species